GUUGUGGCUCAGUGGUAGAGCACUAACCUUGUACAUGUGGGAUCCUGGGUUUGAUCCUCAGCAUAACA
rnacentral:tRNA from 1 species